GAAACAUCUUCGGGUUGUGAGGUUAAGCGACUAAGCGUACACGGUGGAUGCCCUGGCAGUCAGAGGCGAUGAAGGGCGUGCUAAUCUGCGAUAAGCGCCGGUAAGGUGAUAUGAACCGUUAUAACCGGCGAUACCCGAAUGGGGAAACCCAGUGUGACUCGUCACACUAUCAUUAACUGAAUCCAUAGGUUAAUGAGGCGAACCGGGGGAACUGAAACAUCUAAGUACCCCGAGGAAAAGAAAUCAACCGAGAUUCCCCCAGUAGCGGCGAGCGAACGGGGAGGAGCCCAGAGCCUGAAUCAGCAUGUGUGUUAGUGGAAGCGUCUGGAAAGGCGCGCGAUACAGGGUGACAGCCCCGUACACAAAAGCGCAUGUGCUGUGAGCUCGAUGAGUAGGGCGGGACACGUGGUAUCCUGUCUGAAUAUGGGGGGACCAUCCUCCAAGGCUAAAUACUCCUGACUGACCGAUAGUGAACCAGUACCGUGAGGGAAAGGCGAAAAGAACCCCGGCGAGGGGAGUGAAAAAGAACCUGAAACCGUGUACGUACAAGCAGUGGGAGCACAGGUUUACCUGUGUGACUGCGUACCUUUUGUAUAAUGGGUCAGCGACUUAUAUUCUGUAGCAAGGUUAACCGAAUAGGGGAGCCG
rnacentral:rRNA from 1 species